UUACCUACGGGAGGCAGCAGUGGGGAAUAUUGCACAAUGGGGGAAACCCUGAUGCAGCGACGCCGCGUGAGUGAAGAAGUAUUUCGGUAUGUAAAGCUCCAACAGAAGGGAAGAAAAUGACGGUACCUGACUAAGAAGCCCCGGCUAACUACGUGCCAGCAGCCGCGGUAAUACGUAGGGGGCAAGCGUUAUCCGGAUUUACUGGGUGUAAAGGGAGCGUAGACGGCCAGACAAGUAAGAAGU
rnacentral:rRNA from 1 species